UACGUAGGGCGCAAGCGUUGUCCGGAAUUAUUGGGCGUGAAGAGCGUGUAGGCGGCUAGGUAGGUCCGUUGUGAAAACUCGAGGCUCAACCUCGAGACGCCGGUGGAAACCAUCUAGCUAGAGUCCGGAAGAGGAGAGUGGAAUUCCUGGUGUAGCGGUGAAAUGCGCAGAUAUCAGGAAGAACACCCGUGGCGAAGGCGGCUCUCUGGGACGUGACUGACGCUGAGACGCGAAAGCGUGGGGAGCGAACAGG
rnacentral:rRNA from 1 species